rnacentral:rRNA from 1 species
UCGAGGGGCAGCGGGGGUGCAGGCUUGCCUGCGCCUGCCGGCGACCGGCGCACGGGUGAGUAACACGUAUGGAACCUGCCCGCCACAGGGGGAUAACCCGGGGAAACCCGGCCUAAUACCCCAUGCCGUCCGGACCGGGCAUCCGGUCCGGGCGAAAGGAGGAAUCCGGUGGCGGCUGGGCAUGCGGCGCAUUAGCUUGACGGCGGGGUAACGGCCCACCGUGGCGACGAUGCGUAGGGGUUCUGAGAGGAAGGCCCCCCACACUGGAACUGUGACACGGUCCAGACUCCUACGGGAGGCAGCAGUGAGGAAUAUUGGUCAAUGGGCGGAAGCCUGAACCAGCCAAGUCGCGUGAGGGAAUAAGGCCCUACGGGUCGUAAACCUCUUUUGCCGGGGAGCAAGGGCCGGGACGCGUCCCGGCCCGGAGAGUACCCGGAGAAAAAGCAUCGGCUAACUCCGUGCCAGCAGCCGCGGUAAUACGGAGGAUGCGAGCGUUAUCCGGAUUUAUUGGGUUUAAAGGGUGCGUAGGCGGGCUUUUAAGUCAGCGGUAAAAAUUCGGGGCUCAACCCCGUCCGGCCGUUGAAACUGGGGGCCUUGAGUGGGCGAGAAGAAGGCGGAAUGCGUGGUGUAGCGGUGAAAUGCAUAGAUAUCACGCAGAACCCCGAUUGCGAAGGCAGCCUUCCGGCGCCCUACUGACGCUGAGGCACGAAAGUGCGGGGAUCGA